UGCUGUCUCUGCAGCCUCUUAUCUUUCAUUUUUAGAAGAGGAAAACUGUUAGUCAUGUAACGAAAACAUAACAAAAGCGUUCAUCCCAAAACCACUUUUACUAAGCUGGGCAUGGCACCUCAUACAUAUAACCAGGACCACGAGAGGCUGAAGCAGUAGGAUCCCUGUGAGGCCGAGGCCAGCCUGUACCACAGUGUACGUUCCAGACCACCCUAGACUGACUGUAAAAUGAGGCCCUAUCUCAAAAGAGAAAAUACCCAACCUACUCGAGAAAAGUGACUCAGCCCACAAAGUGCUUGUUGCAUAAGAACCUGACCUCAACCCCCAGCAUCCAUGUAAAGAAGGUGGGUGUGGCAGUGCUGGCCUGUGUCAUCCCAAGGUUGUGGGUGUGGUGUAUGCUAGCCAGUUAGUCUGUCCAAACUGGUGAGCUUAAAGAAACAUCGUGGACAGCAGCUGAGGAAGAUCUGUGAUGCCAACAUCUGGCCUUUGCAUGUACCAAUAGACAAUGUGCACGUGUGCCUUCACAAAUGCACAUGUAUAAAUGUGUAUAUACGUACAUACACUUGAAGGUACAUCACAACCAAGGGUGGUAACUCCCGACCAAUGGACAAAGACAGAAACUUUUCAAUAGCUACCUAAAUAUUCCAAAAAUAACUUCAGUAACAAUUAAUAGAUGUGUGGAAGUCACAAACUUGUGAGAACUAUAAAGGAGCUUUGGGGCUCCUUACUCAAAUUACAAAAGCACAAAGAACAACCCAAAACAAAAGCAGGAAUCUACCUGGCCGUGAGUCCGAGGCACCCUGGGCUAUAAAAUGUGUGCCUAUCUCAAAAAACAAACCCCCAAAUCUAAACCUUGAGACAAAAGUAAAAAGAGCAACAGGACGAGUCAAGAACACCUUCUCCUGGGGAGGCAGGGGGACGACCCUCCAGGAGACCUAGGCUCAUUCACCGCUGACCCUCCCUAUGAGCCUGCUAACAGUACUAGCCACAAUACUUCCCCUCUCCCAGUCGGGAUCACUGCCCACAAGAGACCCUUGAUUAGAAACAGGAAUGAAUUGGAAAGGGCAUUUAAGGAAGGGUGUAGUUGUACUUAACAGUGUAAUAAAGAGAAUACACCAAGAGGAGGAAACUGCCGAUAUAUCAGGGCUGUCAACCCGGAGUCAUGACCCUUAUGGGAGAUCACCUAUAGAUAGCCUUAUAUCUUGUAUUUACAAUAUGAUUCAUAACAGUAUCAAAAUUACAAAACACUUCUAUGGUUGGUGGUCACCACAGCAUGUGAACUGUGCUAAAGGGUCCCAGUAUUAGGAGGGUGGAGAGAAAUUGUGGAAUACAGGUGAAAUUCAGGAUAACCUGGUGUGCUCAUAGGCUAACACUAAAGAGAUAGCAGAUCUCUUCACUGUGUGUGCACACAUGUUGUUUAUGUGAGUGGGUGAGUAUAUAUAUGUGCUGGGGACUGAACCCACAGCCUAGAUGUUAGGCAAGUUCUCCAUCUUCUACCCACAUACCCAGAACCCUACAGAUUUUUACAAACAUGAUGGUUGCCAGAAUUAAUAGAAAUGGACUUAAAGUAUCAACUACAAUAGAAUAUUAACAUCUUAUGUUUAUUUUGACUAUGCAACUCAAAGGUCAACAGUAAUUUAAUGUUUAAUAUAUACUAAACACACCACACACACACACACACACACACACACACACACACACACACACACACACUGGUUUUUCAAGACAGGGUUCCUCUAUGUCCCAGUCCUGACUGUCCUGGAACUUGCUUUGCAGAGCAGGCUGGCCUUAAACCCAUGGAGAUCUGUCUCCCUUCCUCCUGAAUGCUGGUUUAAAGAUGUGUUCCAUCACGCCCAGCUUAAUAUCAUUUUAAGUACUAAAGAAUAUUGGAAAUUAAUAUUUUAUUCAUGGUUUUUUUCUGAAAAAUUUAGGGAUAAAAACAUGAAUUACAGAUGAGUUACUUGUAACAUCAUUUACUAGAGAGAAAAAUGAAUAGAUUUAAUGUUAAUUAUUAACCAUCAUAAAAGGACAAUAUUCUACACAUCCUCACUUUACUAUAAAAUCAUCUGUAUAAUUUCUGGGAAAAUGUUGUACAGCAGUGAAUAUGGAAUUUUGGGUGUUCUAAGUAUUAAAUUCAUGGUCCAAUCUGUACUCUGCAGUCAAAGUAAGGAAAAAAUGUUCUGAUGACAUACAUGUAACACAGAUUUGGAUGAAUACAUUUUUGGCUCUCUGUUACUAUCAAUUCAACGUAGAUGCUUAGAAAUGAAAGUUAUUGUUUCCCACCACUAUCAAGCAGUCUGGUAACUCACAGCUUCCAUACAAGCCUCAUGAUAAUUAUAGUGUGUUCAAAGAUUGUUCAGAAGGCAAAGAAGCCUGUAAAAGCAUUCAGGAACUGUGUUUCAGUGACACGGGAUGCCACUGUUCUUUCUUUAUGGUUACUCACCUUUGGUGUUAAAGUGUAACAGACAAGAUAAUUGGGGGAAAGGCUACAAUUACACUGCUGAAUCAAGAAGCUAUGCUUGUGAAAGAGACAUUUUUGGCUUUAUUUCAUUCUAUAUAAGCUCUGAAUUCUAAAAUGAGUGAUUUAAAAUUCAUAGAUCGUGUCAAUACAGAUAUGUAUGUUUAUUCAUUCAUCGAGUGUAUGUUAUUGGGAAGAUUAAUUAUUUCAGGAAUAUACCUGUUAAGAUGGAUUAAGGAUUUUACUUACUAUAUGUAAAUACUAUGAAAUCUUCAAAUGUCCCAGGUAACAGAUAUUAGAUGAAGACAUGACAUUUCAGCUAAUGAAGCGAAGCCAUUUAUCUUGAAACAUUCAUGCUACAGAAAAAGAAACCUUUGAAAGUGGCCUUAAGUUUGCAAAAAUCAGCAACUUUAAUCUACCCACUUUCUUCUGACCUUUACACUCAACCUCAAGAAAAUGUUCAGCGACAUAAAUCCCAUCUGGAAAGGCUGCUGCAGACCUCAUUUUCUGCUGUUUUUCCAUUAGGUAUUUAUGGGACUUGCUGGUGUUACAGGGGACCAGUAAAACGCCAAAGUAAUCCUGCAGUUCCUGUGUAUGAAUUCAGCUUUCCUCUGAGAUGCUAACUUUCCCCCCACUGCCAGGGCCCUUUCAGAUCCGAGUAGAAAACUGAGACCAAAGGUGUCAUGUUCUUUCGCUAAGGGGUGUGCUGGGGAGUUAGGAGCUGUGGGCAGGGAGAAAGAAAAUGAACUGCACUUGGCUGUUUAAGAAUUGAAACAAAAAUUUUUAAGCCAUUAAGGCAGUCUGUUACACGUUUGCACUAAUUGAAGCCACAGCAUGUGUUUAUAUGAGGUAGAAGAGGAACCCGAGAGUUUUAAAGUUUGAGGGUCUCAGCUGCGUGCAUACCUUCUCUGGACGGUACAGGAAGCCAGCUGCUCCCAUUUAUGAACUGUAUUGAACGCAUGUGCUCCAGGAUGCCCAUGACGUAAUGCGUCACACCACACUUUCAAACAGGCUUGCCAAGUGGGGGGUGGGAGGGCCGGGGGGGGGGGACACAAAUAUGUUAGCGGGACAGAAAACAUUAUAGAUGUUUACGUAAAAAGUUAAGAAAGGAACCUUGUUACCGCUGGAGUGCUCCAUAAUCCGUUAUUAAGUAGAUGAAGAAGAAAAUGAGUGAACUUAAAACCAACUCAUUUAUUACAAGUGCGGCUUCAUUUUAAAUCUAAACUAAGUCUGGGACAAAAACACAUCUUUAAAUUAGUCAAUGAUACCUAUCUUAUCCAUUAUGGGGAAAGUGGGAAAAAAUACUAGCUAUGGGACACUAGACUGUGAGAACAAAUCUUCCCACAAUUUAUGUAACCAGAGCAAUUAUUCCCAUUGCCCCUUCUACGUUAAUGGAAGUUUCAUCCUUCACUGUCUUCUUUUCUCUCACGAGGCACUUCCGAUCCAGCAGCCAGGUUGCUGCACGUUGUGAGCGGCUGCUUCUCCUUGUAGCUACUGCCUCCUCUCAGGCGUCAGACCCUUUCCUGGGCAGUCACCUCCAAGACCAUUCCCUACCAUCAACCUGUGCCAUACCUCUCUUAAUGAUUUUUAAUGUCAUGGGGAGUGUAACACACACACACACACACACACACACACACACACACACACACACAUUCGUGUUUUCUAUAGACUAUAAAGUAUUCUUUAACAUUUCCCUUAACCUCUUGUGUCUCUGAUUACAAUUGCGCCUUCUCACUGCUCACUGGGCAGUAGCCAUGUUGACCUCCAUGCUACUUUGGAACAUGUUCCCAAGCUCCUGGCACGGUGCCUACGUGCUAGUUAUUGAUGCCUAGAUAGUGGUUCUCCCUACUAUGUACCCGACUUGCUCCUUGAAAUCUCAGUUUAGGCUCCACCUUCUUGUAAUGUAUUCCUCUAUCUAAAACUGAAACAUUCUUUCUCUAGGCCUGAGCAUAUUUUAACCCCGUGUUAAUGCUUCAUUUGUCUCUAGAGUUCCUGUAACUUUCUAGUAUACCAUGUAUUUUUAAGGCAAUAUUUCUGGGAAAAAAAAAAAACCCUGAAGGUGGUGUUUCUGUUUGUAUUGGUUAGGGGAAUAUUUUUAGUAGCCAGUGAAGUUACAACAUGUAGUAACUGAGCUACCCAUACGAAAUAUUUAACUUCAAGCACAGUGAGUGAAAAUAUGAUCAAAUCCUGUGUAAUGGUCCUUCCUGGCACUACAGCAACAAGCAUUAGUAAGCUAAUCCACCAUCUACUUUUCUAACAUUAAUUGUAGACCCUUACUAAGCCACACAGAGCUCUGAGUCUGGCCCAACCGUAAUGAAGGAGACACAGCAAGCUGGAUACCUGCCAACAAACACACACACGGAUCUGUGUUUGGUCCUCAACAAGUACCCGGAAAGAGGAAGCAGCAGUAGAGGCCGCUCGGCACUGACAGGCGGUUAGUGAAUCUGGUCAAGGGCAGAUAGAGUCAGUAUUAAAACAGCAAAACCAAAACACAGCAAUGAUAAGAUAGUUGCUUAGAAAUUUCUCAAGACUUUCACUUUUCUGCGUUAACUAAAUCUGCUUGGUACAUUACUUCGGAGUUCCGGAAGAGGAUAUUGAGAUCUGUGCAAAUCCACAAAUCCCGACUCAGAGAGAGGUUAAACUUCUGUCUUAUUGUAAAUAUAUCCAAGAGCCACCUUUUUCCUGUGUCUAUUUGACUUGGUGAGUCUUCUGGCCUUCCUAUAGCUUAUUCUCUGCGUUCACAGAGAUUCCUGUCUCAGGGGAGCUCAGUGUGCGAUGAGCUACGCAGCCCAACCGAACACGUCACGUUGGAUCCUAGUCAGCUGACGCAAUGUACACCCAGCACAGAAGCAACUGUGAGUUGCAGAGUGGAGGCUGGUGGUGUGAUCGCCCCAGGCUGGCUCAUUCAGUCUCCACUUGAGCAAGUUCACUGUGACCAGACUGUUAGACUUUGAUGCAAAAAUAUCUAGAUUAAAAAAAUGAUCAAAUAGGAGAUGUUAAUUACUAAUUCAAUCAUUUCCAGAAACUUCGGUAGUAAGUUGUAUAAGAAAAUCUGAUAUGGAUUAAAGUGUUUUCCUUUCUUUCCCUCUUCCUCUACAGACCGAUACACAGGAGUUUAGAGAGGUUGUUAGGAAGCACUCUCGAGGCCAGUGUUAGCUCUCCUAGGAGGAUGGGGAUAAAAUCAUUUUCUCCUGAAAGUCUAUGUACCAUCUCUAAAUUUCUCCACAUUACUAACUGUUUCUGGAUUCUGUACGCUAGGUCAACUGCUAAGGGGCUCUUGUAAUUAAACCACUCUGCUAAGGGAUUUAUCCAAAGCAGUGCACUGCAUCUGCUGCUGCUGCUGCUGCUGCUGAGGUCUUUGUGCUCGGGAAUAAAAAACAAAACAACAAACAAAAAAGGGACGCACAAGAAAGGGAUUAGACUGUUCGCAAGACCUGCAAGGAAUCUGCGUAAGAUUUAAAACAGACAUACGCUUUCAAAGUCAAGAACUUUCAAAUGCAACAGUUAAUCCACAUAAUAAUUCAACAACCAACACAGGCUCAAAGUUCUAACAGAUACCAUAUGUAACCUGUAAUAAAACCUGAGUUAAGAUAUUUCAGGCAACAGUGUAAUUUCAUUUUCCAUUUUUAAAUACCCAUUUAUUUUUAGUUAACAGGCUAUAAUACAGCACAUGAAAAAGCUGUCAUUGUAUAAUAAAACCCUGGUACAGAUAAGAUAUUUUAUUAUUUGUUAGAUUUGGGGAGUAGCGUUGCAAAAUGGACUUUCGAAGUUUUCAGUGUUUUUAUAUAUUGCAUAUGCACGCUGAGGUCACUAUUAAUUGUAUAGUCUGGUAUCCAUUAAAAGAGAUCUACUUCAGGAAGCAGAUAGGACAGCAGGAGAGAUAGCCUUAGCCCACAAAACAUACACAUUCUGAACAAUCGUUACACUGAAGACCUACUAUGUGUAAAGCUAUCGUAAAAGGAAGACAUGUAAGCUAUUCAUGGAAAAUAAAAACAGAACUAGUGUCACAAAGGGGAAAGGUCAGAUAGCUAAAAUAUCCCACAUUCGAGCCACGGUGAAUGAAUUAACUGAAAUGUAAUUAAUACUGACAAGAAUAAUCAAAGCCUUUGUUCUCACCAUUCAUCCAUGGGCAACGGAAGCCUCAUGACCAGGAAGGUAAGAAUGUUAAAGCAGUAUCUAUAGGUAGAUAAAAACAGAUGCUAACUGGUACAGAAAGAAAUAUCCUCAUUAAAAAAAAAAAAAGCUACUAUUUUGAGACAAAGGAACAAGUAUCUAGCAGCUGACCCUGGAGAACCUGGGAACUUAAAUGGCACUGUGAAAGGAAAUGUCAUUUUCUAUUUCUGGUUUCUCAAGUUUCUAGUUGUUUUACUCCAAGGAGUUAUUCUUUCGUAUGCCUUAAACACAAAACUAUCCUAUAAAUUUAAAGACAGAAAAUUGGCAAGCCUUGGCAACAGUAUUUCAGCAUUACAAUAGUGUCUUUUAUUAGAAACCCUGGACUUCACAUCCAUUCAUCUGCUAGACAGAACUUCCUGGCUAACAGUCCAUUGUGAUGACAUAAUUUCUGACAAAGACAUUCUCAGUCAAAAGGAGAUCACCAGGCGGAUCCUUACGGUUCUCCUUGAACUAUUUUCUCAAGCUGUCUGUAAUUCAUGGAAAGGAACAUUCUAUUAACAAGUCCACGUCACGUCCUGUUGCCUCAGAGUAUCAAAACGGAAAAGCAGAAAUCGCCUCAUCUCGGAACUCUUUCCAAAGGAGGCAGUGCCUGGAAACCCUGAGCGGAGACACACGCAGUUCUCCCUGAUGAUGCCAUUUCAGCCUCUGACCUUCAGACGUAACUACUGCACCUGGUCAGCUGAUGUCUGAGGUGAAUCUAAGGUGGGAAACGCACAGCAAUAGAAUAUCGACCAUAAUAUCAGAAUCAUCUCAGUUUAUCACGCUGGUUACGAGGGGAAACUCAUAACCAUGGAAACUAGAGCAAGCCGUUUGACAUCAGAUUACUUGGGCUGGAGAGAUGGCUCAGUGGUUAAGAGCACUGACUGCUCUUCCAGCGGUCCUGAGUUCAAUUCCCAGCAACCACAUGGUGGCUCACAACCAUCCGUAAUGAGACCUGAUGCCCUCUUCUGGUGUGUCUGAAGACAACUACAGUGUACUACUCAUAUACAUAAAAUAAAUAAUUCUUUAAAAAAAAAAAGAUUACUCUUGAGUUGAAGAGCACGAAGGAACAACAAACAGAAGAACGUCCCAUUUUUCUUCUGUCAAAAAGCAGGGCAUAAACUUCCCAUAACUUCUGAAAGAAUGGAACUUCUGUACUUACAAGGAAGGAUUUUCUUCUCGGGUCAGUGAUGUGCUUGGUGUUAGAACAUAGGUAGCAUCUUCAAGGCUCAAGACUGCGUCAGAGCCUCAGCAAAGAAGAGAACGGUCCUCACUUUCAGUACCAGCAAGAGAACUUUUCCAGUUUUAUCAACUUUAUCAACUAGCCUUACCUCCCCAGGCAUUUCCUAGCAAACCCCUCCCAGAUCUGAUAUUUACCCUUCUCACUAAAAGCCCCAACCUUUUUUUGUCCAGUCUUUCCCAAUGUUUAUCUAUCGAUAGUUUCUACUCAAAACGUAACUCAUUCAAAUCCUAAUGAAUGAACCUAAGAAAGUCUGUGAAGGAGGUUUCGUUCCUUUAUGAUCGUAGCUUUGUCCCUCCUAUGGUGGAUGAGGUCAUGAAGGGAUACUCAAGUAUGGCAAACAGCACAGUUACAAAUGUAACAAUCGGCACGGGUGGGCAGGGGUGGCACACACCUUUACUCCAAGCAGAGGCAGGGUGAGUUCUGAGUUCAAGGCCAGCCUGGGCUACAGAGUGAGUUCCAGGAUAGCCAAGGUUACAAAGAGAAAUCCUAUACCAACAAACACAAAACAAACCCCAGCAUGUUUAGAGCAUGUAUCAUGUGUGUGUAUGAUCAUGUAUGUGUGUGUAUGUAUGUAUGUGUGUAUAUGUGUGUAUAUGUGUGUGUGUGUGUGUUUUACUGGGGAUUGAACAUAGGGCUUUGCACAUGCUAAACUCAGACUAUCAGUGAGUCACACACUCAGCAAUAUAUGCUGUAUAGAAAUCAUUAUUAUUUUUGGUACAAGCAACUUAACAGGCUCAAAAUUUAUGUGCUUUACUACUGAGCUACAGCCAGACGUUGGCAGGAAUUAUUAGUGAGGGUAAAGCUAGAGCAAACUUGAGUUGUUUGGCACAGGGUGGGGUUGGGGAGGGUGGGAAGGAAGAACUCCAGUGAGGAACACAUGAUGCUAUAAAUACAAACUACAUAUGCCUUGCUAUAUCUAGUUCCCAGGGAGGCUGAGGCAAAUGGUAGCCGGGUUGAGGCCAGUCUUUCUGCCUCAGAAGAAUACAGCUAAAAUACACAAUGAAUAAAAACAAAAUGAAAUAACCAAGAAACACUGAAUUGCACAGAGUGAAUGGAAGUGAGAAAGUCACUAAUUUACGUGUCUUUCAAUAUAUUUCCAAACUGCAAAUGUAGUAAGAAGCAAAAGACUAGCUGGAGAUAUUUGUCGACCAAUUAUCCCUCACUGUGGACCUGGACUCAUUUGCAUAAAGGAGGAAGAACUCUCAAACACAGCCUUCUAUCUCACUACUUCCUAGGAGAGCGGCCAACCGUUUGGAACACAGAGUUUACAUCCCAAGUCAUGGGAUAUAAAGUCCUCCUGACCCCUACAUACUUACCGCCCUCAUCCCCGGCAUUUCCCCACACGCAGCUGCCCUUAGUAUGCCACAAUUUGGUCUACUGGCAAGCUUGAUACGUACUCUUUGAAAAAUGGAUUGACUUACACGUAGGUUUUGAAGCUGUGCCUUAUAUCUCCCUCCUAGAAAUUUAAAACGAGUAUUUUAAAAAGAGAGACUGGGGGCUGGGGAUUUAGCUCAGUGGUAGAGCGCUUACCUAGGAAGCGCAAGGCCCUGGGUUCAGUCCCCAGCUCCGAAAAAAAGAACCAAAAAAAAAAAAAAAUAAAUAAAAUAAAAAAAUAAAAAGAGAGACUGCCUGGAAUGGCUCCCGGGAAAGCCGCAAGAUGGUUCUCCCUCUCCUGCAAAGAAGGGUGAGCGGUUUGAAUGAGCAGUAGACAAACAAUUGGUAUUAAAUCAGUAAUAAAAAAGUGAAGACCUUUCAAAGUACACAUCAUUCAUUUCCACAUUCACCUGGCUGAAUUUAUUAAGAAUUUCUGUAUUAGGUUUUGAUUAAAAAGUUGUUUUUCGGGCUGGAGAGAUGGCUCAGUGGUUAAGAGCACUGACUGCUCUUCCAGAGGUCCUGAGUUCAAAUCCCAGCAACCACAUGGUGGCUUACAACCAUCUGUAGUGAGAUCUGAUGCCCUCUUCUGGUCUGAAGACAGCUACAAUGUACUUACGAAUAAAUAAAUCUUAAAAAAAAAAAAGUUGUUUUUCCUAACUACUUAAAUGCAAUAAAAAUGUUUAGGCUAUAAACUUACUUCUAAUCACUAUUGAAAUCAAUUAUCUAAUUCCCUACUGAAAUCAGCCUUAUCAAAAAAUCUUAUAGAAUGAUUAAUCUGUGUACCUGUAUUUAAAGAGCCCCGCCUUGGAAAGGCAGAUUCGUGAGAGAGGUUCAGUGUGUGAACGGGGAUUCCUGAGGGAGGAGAGCAGUUCUAACUCUUUCAUUUAUACUUGACGGUUUCCAUUAGCCUUUCCUAGAAUUCUCAGUAAACAACUCCUGACACUCGCUUUAUGAUUUAGGUAAGGCUCAACAGGCAUGUCCUCUAAAUAAGGAAACCAAGGUUAAGAGAGGUUAAAUGGCUCGGAGUAGAACAGAGAUGGCACUGGCUGUAUAACUGGGAGGCUCUCAGGAACCAAUUCACCCUUCCCUCCACCAUGUGCAAACACACUGUAACGUGACAUUAUAGACCAAACAAGUCACUUCUCCAAUGCAGCCGCUUCCUUCAUCCAGAGGCACUCUAUAAACACAUCAAGGAAUCAUGGCUAUGACACCUCCAAAUUAAUUUCAUUAAACAAAAAUUAUGUAAUAACUGCUUUGUAGCUUAUACUAGAGAAUCCGUUUAGAAACAAGAAACGCAGGUAUUGAUAUUCAAAUUUAUGUAUAUUUAAAUUAGAAAAUUAAUUUUUUAUUUAGUGUGUGUAUUUCUGUGGGCGUUGAGGGCCACAGAGCACAUGUGGAGGUCACAGGACAAUUUAUGGGAGUCAGGUCUUUUCACCUUCACAUAGGGUUGGGAGAACAAACUCAGGUAGUCUAGUUUUCGCAACACAGCCUUACCUGGUGAGUCAGCGCUCUGGCUCUCGAUUUAGACAUACUAAUGGCAUUUAAAUUGUUCUCAACACAUCAGUUACUAAAACCUCAAAAAUGUAUCAGGUUAGGAACAGCUGAUUUUAGGACUUUGUUUGCUCUGUUUUUGUUUAGUGGAGAAUACAUGUAAUACCCAUCCACGUUAUUUCUGAUCUAGAAGAGGAAAAGAACCGAGCUAAACUGUAUAGGCAAACAGGUAAACAGUCUAUGUAGCCGCACUGUAGCUGUAUGUUUUGCAAACAUGAGUAUGCAAAUGUGAGCGUGCAUGGGUGUGCAGAGGUCUGGGCGGGAUGAUGGUGUCUCCUCUUGCUCACCUCUUUACUGACUAAGCACAGAGUCUCUUCCUGUACUGGAGCUAUCCUGUGGCCAACAAGCUGGUGGGGCUUGCCCUUCCCUGUUCCCCACUGCUGGCGUUACAGACACUGCUACUCCCCAAGCUACUUCUGCAGUCCCUGUAAGGAUUUUUUUUAGGGAAAUAUUGAAGAACUCUUUGUAAUCCAGUGCUUAUAUUUGUUCUUCCAAGUUAGUCAUUAUGACCAUAAAAACAGUUUCCAUCAGUGUUUAUUCUUACUCUCUUCCUUCUCCUUUUCUAAUCCGCAUGCGUGUGCCACUGUAAUCAGAUGUUGAGAAAAUUAUUAUAUUGUCACAGGAAAUGGAUUUUGUGACUCCUGGUGGGAAAUAAAGCAAGCAGACAAAUGAACCAUUACGGGAAAAAGGCCUUAUCUGUUCUGAAAAGCAAUGGAUCAAGAUAUUAAUGAUCAUCACCUCUGAACUCGCUGCUGGAUGCUGAAGAAUUUAAGUCCCUUAUCACUGGAAUAAAAAGGAAUAGCUUCUUUAAAAGGCCAGGCCCGCGUUUCCACAAUAUAAAUUAUGUAUUUAUCUUGUCAAUGCAAAGAGCCAGAAGCAGGAGCGGUGGCCUUAGAACACACUCCCAACCCGUGCUACCGAGGAGCAGAUACCCUUCUCAGUUCUCUGAAUGGACACUUCAAAAUACGCAAGGAAACAAGAAACACUUCACCUACAAAAGAAAAUCUAGGAAACAACUUAAAGAGAUCUACUCUCAAAUAGAGUUCAACUUAGUUAAGAGAACAGGACCAAACAGGGGAUAUGGGAGUCUCUACAGUUCAAAGCACAGAUUCAUCACAAAACAGACAGCGUUGCCCCAUUCAAAACACAAACCCUAGGACCCUUAGGAAGAGAGACGGCCGCUUUCACAUUCACUGUCAGCACUGAACCUUUGCCUAAUGACUGCUCCCACGUAGCUUCAUUAAGUGUGAAGCAUUUCUGGAGUAGCGUGGGGAAUUAAGUAGUAUCUGUACAAGGAAUUAAUUUCUGUGGCAAAAUGCAUUUUCAGCCAAAUGACUAAAUUACUACUAGACAGAGCAUUUUGUUCAUUUAGGGACACGUUGCCCAGGCUCAGGGAGUCCCAUAGAGUUAAUCAUCUUACAAGCAGGUCAGCUGCAUAGCUGUGAAAUGAAGAGGCAGGUCACAGAAUUGGCGACCUAUAAAGUUCUGGUAUUGAUUCUUCCUCACUGGCUUAUCGGCAUGAAAGUUUCACUGCAAAUAGUAUAAUGUGUUUAUCCAACAGGGUCUGCAAUUUGGUGAGAAAGCCAAUUCUAACACAGUGUUAGAUGAAAAUAGAAAAAACGAAAAAAGCUGAGGAGAUGGCUCAGCGGGUAUAGCACACGCCAAACACACGUGCAUACCAGGGUCUGGAUACCCAGAGCAAUAUAAAUAGUUCGGGGCCUGCCUGUACUUCCAAGCCUUGGAAGGGGUGUGUCUACAGGGUGGGGGAGGGGGAGGUCCUUGGAACAAGCUGGCAAUGAAAAAAAUUAAUAAAAGAGAAGAAAUAAAAUAUCAGUUGUGCCAUUUUUAUAUGAUAUACUUCUUUAGUGUGUUACAACUCCUCACAUCGGCUGCUUUAAAACUAUAAAUAAAUAUGCACCCAAAUAUUAAUCUCUUUGCAUGCUUUGUUCUUAGAUGUACCAACAGUUCUAAGUAAUGCGAGAGUUCUGAAGGGCAAGGGGCCUAGCUUGCUCACACAGUGCUUGCCCAGCACAAAUAACUCUCUGGGUUUGACAGCCAGGCCAGGUAGAAAUGAAAGAUGAACACAUAAUUAAAAGAAAACCAAAUGCCUUUUGGAUUAGGGAUAAAGCUCCGUAGAGAAGUGUUUGCCAAAGCACAUAAGGGGUAGGAAAAAAGAGUCCCGUCAACACUAUCCGGUUCUCAUAUUCAACAAGGUGAGAUGUACAACUGUAUAUUAUAAAAUACAAUUUAAUUAAGAACAUUUCAGACAGGGUCUCAUUGCGCAACUCUGGCUUUCCAGGAACUCAAGCAAACAGCUUGCUUCUGCCUCCCAUGUUCAGACAAUUUCUGUAUGCUAUCAGAGACAUGGAGGCAUCGUCCCUGGAGAAGUCGUUUAUCAAUGAAGACUCUCUAACCACAUUCCUUACAAAGCUUCUAGCCUAAGACAGUCACCAAAUGUACAUCCUAUCAUUAUCGAUUGACCUACCCUGGGCUCUCCUCAUGACUCAUAUAUUGUCACCAUCAAUAUAUGCUCCCUAUCAAUGGCUUCUUUCCCUUGGCAAAAUAGUUUCGAGAAUUGUACGUGUCAAAGCAGGUGUGAACUUACUGUUACCCUUUUAAAUACUAAACUAUAUUCCAGUGUGGAUAUAGUUUUCUUUUUCUUUUUCUAUAUUUCACUAUUUAAUUAUUUUUAUGUUUCUAAUUUUUUAAAAAUUAUUUUUAAAUUUUAAAUAUUUAGCAUUUAAUUAAUUAUAUAUUCUAACUAUGUGUUUAUUUUUCACGUUUUGUUUUAAAGGAUAGACAGAAAUUAUACACAUUCCAAGCACGAGAUGAAGCUUCUUGAUAUAUGUACCGUGUGGAAUGACUAACGAAACCCAAAUAAUUAACACAGCCGUGGGCUCACAAGCUGUUUGUAGAGUAAGGAGAGUUGAGUUUCUCAGCAGAUUUCAAGUCUACAAUGUGUGAUUUUAAAGAUAAUCACUAUGGCUUACGUUAGACCAUAGUAGACUUACUCAUCACAUAAUGGAGGGUUGGCCCCUUCAGACCAGCAUCGUCUCUUCUUCCCAGGUUUCCUCUGCUCAUCAGUACCUGUGCCUAGGGUACGGUAUGGCAUCCACCUUUCUGUGCCUAGCCUAUCUGGUCAAGAGUUACUGCGAGAGGCAGGAUUUCCUCUUCCUUGUCUUUUUCUUUAAUUUUUACAUAUGGUGUCAGGUAGCUACUAAAGAACAGUUGCCUCCAGGCUUGUGAUCCUCUUAUCCUGAGUCCUGGGAUUCCAAACAAGCAGGUGCCACCAUGCCUGGCUAGCACGGUGUUGCUCAUUCUAAAAUGUUAAAGAGCACUGCACUGUGUGCACGCGCCGUACAGCAGAUCUUUUCUCUGUUCGUUUGUUGAUAUGGACUUAUGUUAUUCUUGCAAACGUGUCUACUACGGACGAUGCUGGAGCGAAACGAAUGCGCCUCUUCCUCAGAUACACUGACAUCAUCUUAAUCCCAAGCAAAUUCAGACACAGAAUCGCUGGAUCAUCUGUUUUUGAGAAACUUCCGGUGUACCAUGGUAACGAUCCCAAGCUAUAUUCUUACAAAUGCACAGUACACAGGUAUGCCUUCUCUCUGACUUUCCAUUUGUGUGUGUGAAUACAUGUUCAUGUGAGGUGUACAUGAAUGUUUGUGGUGGGUGUGUAUAUGGCAUAGCUCGAUGUCCACUGUCAGUCUCAGUUGUUCCCCACCUGAAUUUUUAUUACUUUUUCUAUUAGUAACCUUUUAUUUUCACUGUGCCACAACAUAUCAUAUUAAUAUAAUUAAAAUAUAACAUGCUAUAAUAAAUUCCAAAAGCACAAUUUUAAUACACUUACUACAACAUAUUCUAUGCAAUCACAUAUAAUGAAUGGGCCAUAUAAUUUUGUUUCACUUUUGGUACUGUAUUUUAAUUACAUGUCUCUCUUUCAUCUCCCCUCCGCAGUCAUGUUCAGCUUGGGGUCUUUUCCCACCAGUUGUGUUGCAUGCAUACGUGUACCUGUACAUUCGC